AAGAGAAAGUAGAUUACUAAAAGAAGCUGCUAACUAUCUUUUAUAAGCGGUUAAAUUCCGUUAUUCUCUUA
rnacentral:tRNA from 3 species